rnacentral:rRNA from 1 species
UACGGGGGGGGGCAAGCGUUACUCGGAAUUAUUGGGCGUAAAGGGCGCGUUAGGCGAUUUGAAAAGUCUUGUGUGAAAGCCCCGAGCUUAACUCGGGAAGUGCACAAGAAACUGUUGAAUUUGAGUUCCGGAGAGGAAGGCAGAAUUCCCGGUGUAGCGGUGAAAUGCGUAGAUAUCGGGAGGAAUACCAGUGGCGAAGGCGGCCUUCUGGACGGAUACUGACGCUGAGGAGCGAAAGCGUGGGGGAGCGAACAGG